rnacentral:rRNA from 1 species
GAUGAACGCUGGCGGCGUGCUUAACACAUGCAAGUCGAACGAAGCAUUUGCGACAGAUUUUUUCGGAAUGAAGUUGCUUAUGACUGAGUGGCGGACGGGUGAGUAACGUGUGGGUAACCUGCCUUGUACUGGGGGAUAGCAGCUGGAAACGGCUGGUAAUACCGCAUAAGCGCACAAUGUUGCAUGACAUGGUGUGAAAAACUCCGGUGGUAUAAGAUGGACCCGCGUCUGAUUAGCUAGUUGGUGAGAUAACAGCCCACCAAGGCGACGAUCAGUAGCCGACCUGAGAGGGUGACCGGCCACAUUGGGACUGAGACACGGCCCAGACUCCUACGGGAGGCAGCAGUGGGGAAUAUUGCACAAUGGAGGAAACUCUGAUGCAGCGACGCCGCGUGAGUGAAGAAGUAAUUCGUUAUGUAAAGCUCUAUCAGCAGGGAAGAUAGUGACGGUACCUGACGAAGAAGCUCCGGCUAAAUACGUG